UCCGAUUUGUCACCGGCAGUCUCCCUAGAGUCCCCGGCAUGAUCCGCUGGCAACAUGGGACAGGGGUUGCGCUCGUUGCGCCACUUAAGGCAACACCUCACGGCACGAGCUGACGACGGCCAUGCAGCACCUGUGCGGGCUCCCGAAGGAGGACCGUAUUUCUACGGCUUCACCCCGCAUGUCAAGCCCUGGUAAGGUUCUUCGCGUUGCGUCGAAUUGAACCACAUGCUCCACCGCUUGUGCGGGUCCCCGUCAAUUCCUUUGAGUUUUAGCCUUGCGGCCGUACUCCCCAGGCGGGGCACUUAAUGCGUUAGCUUCGGCACGGAGGGAGUCGACACCCCCCACACCUAGUGCCCAUCGUUUACGGCGUGGACUAC
rnacentral:misc_RNA from 1 species